GUGAUGCUGGAAUUGUUCAGGUAUUCCUCAAACUUAGCUCCAACGUUCCCAUCACCUUCCUCCCUUCUACCAAUGCUUUUGAAGUUCAAAUUCAUUGGUAAACAUAGGUUCCAGUCAAUAUGCCUCACUGUUUUAAUGUUUUUCAUAAAUUUGCAGUGAGAUUCUUCAUUUUCAUCAGAGGAAUGUCUAAUCAAUUUAUGAAAUUUUAUCUUUCAUACUUCUUGAUGCCUAUGUUCUUCUGUGUUAUUUUUGGCAGCCAUAUCCUCCUCUAUGUGAU
rnacentral:misc_RNA from 1 species